rnacentral:misc_RNA from 1 species
GCUGUCAGAUAAUUAAAUUUCACAUAUAAUUGGAAUCAUUUAGAAUUUUUAAAAAGUUCAAUCUUAUAAAAUGUCACUGUUACGACCCUUAACGUUCAUACGGCGAAAUGGUGCUAGGAUGUAUGGCGCUUUCCACGACACCCUGGACCAGCUGACUGGUAUCGAAAAAAGAGAAUUGUUAGCCCAUCUUGCUGGCGACUGCGACCCGUUCCGCAUGAUGAGCAUAAAAAAAGGUCCAGGUACAUGGGAAUGCCCUAAUCUUAUACCAAGUGCCUUCAAUAAGCGGCUCGUAGGUUGCGUCUGCUACCCUGAAACCAACCACAUUGAGUACAUGUGGCUCCAUCAGGGCAUACCGAAGCGAUGCGGUUGCGGUUACUGGUUCGAAUUGUGUCCUAUUGCGCCACUAUAAUUGUUAUUAUUUGUAUUAAUUAUUUCAUUCACAAUGUUGUUUGUAAGAUUUACCCGCAAAUUCGGCUGUAAUGUAGCCGACUAUAAAUUUAGUCAGGGAAAUUGAAGAUUAUAGCAUUUUAAUUAAUUUUCAUACAUUAACUAUAACAAAAAAUAUUUAAAAUUGUAACCACUUUAAAAGAAAAUGUAAU